rnacentral:rRNA from 1 species
CGAGUUUGAUCAUGGCUCAGGAUGAACGCUAGCGGCAGGCCUAACACAUGCAAGUCGAGGGGUAGAGUUAGCUUGCUAACUUGAGACCGGCGCACGGGUGCGUAACGCGUAUGCAAUCUACCUUGUACAGAGGGAUAGCCCAGAGAAAUUUGGAUUAAUACCUCAUAGUAUCUUUACCUGGCAUCGGGUAAUUAUUAAAGUUCCAACGGUACAAGAUGAGCAUGCGUCCCAUUAGUUAGUUGGUAAGGUAACGGCUUACCAAGACAAUGAUGGGUAGGGGUCCUGAGAGGGAGAUCCCCCCACACUGGUACUGAGACACGGACCAGACUCCUACGGGAGGCAGCAGUGAGGAAUAUUGGUCAAUGGACGCAAGUCUGAACCAGCCAUGCCGCGUGCAGGAAGACGGUCCUAUGGAUUGUAAACUGCUUUUGUACGGGAAGAAACACCCCCUCGUGAGGGGGCUUGACGGUACCGUAAGAAUAAGGAUCGGCUAACUCCGUG